UUCUGCCACCGAAUACAUUAGCAUGGGAUAAUGGAAUAGGACCCUGUCCUCCUAUUUUCAGUUGGUUUUGGCAGCGCGAGGACUAGGGUAAUGAUUAAUAGGGAUAGUUGGGGGCAUUAAUAUUUAAUUGUCAGAGGUGAAAUUCUUGGAUUUAUGAAAGAUUAACUUCUGCGAAAGCAUCUGCCAAGGAUGUUUUCAUUAAUCAAGAACGAAAGUUAGGGGAUCGAAGACGAUCAGAUACCGUCGUAGUCUUAACCAUAAACGAUGCCGACCAGCGAUUAGGAGACGUUGAAUACAAAACACCACCAUCGGUGCGGUCGUCCUUGGCGUCGGUCUUUCGGGGCCGGCGCGGGGACGGCUUAGCCCGGUGGCACCGGUGAAUGACUCCCUAGC
rnacentral:rRNA from 1 species